UACGGGGGGGGCAGGCGUUGUUCGGAAUUACUGGGCGUAAAGGGCUCGUAGGUGGCCAACUAAGUCGGACGUGAAAUCCCUCGGCUUAACCGGGGAACUGCGUCUGAUACUGGAUGGCUUGAGUUCGGGAGAGGGAUGCGGAAUUCCAGGUGUAGCGGUGAAAUGCGUAGAUAUCUGGAGGAACACCGGUGGCGAAGGCGGCAUCCUGGACCGACACUGACGCUGAGGAGCGAAAGCCAGGGGAGCAAACGGG
rnacentral:rRNA from 1 species